GAUGAACGCUGACAGAAUGCUUAACACAUGCAAGUCUACUUGAUUCUACUUCGGUAGUUGAUGGUGGCGGACGGGUGAGUAACGCGUAAAGAAUCUGCCCUUUAGUUUGGGAUAACCUUUGGAAACGAAGGCUAAUACCGGAUAUUAUGGAGACGUCGCAUGACGACUCCAUGAAAGCUAUAUGCGCUAGAGGAGGACUUUGCGUCCCAUUAGUUAGUUGGUGAGGUAAUGGCUCACCAAGACCGCGAUGGGUAGCCGGCCUGAGAGGGUGAUCGGGCACAAGGGAACUGAGACACGGUCCUUACUCCUACGGGAGGCAGCAGUGGGGAAUAUUGGACAAUGGGCCACAAGCCUGAUCCAGCAAUUCUGUGUGCGCGAUGAAGGUCUUCGGAUUGUAAAGUGCUUUCAGUAGGGAAGAAAAAAAUGACGGUACCUACAGAAGAAGCGACGGCUAAAUAUGUGCCAGCAGCCGCAGUAA
rnacentral:rRNA from 1 species